UUUUAACAGUGUCUGUUCAUUUAAUGUCAGUGAUGCAAUCAUUUUUCAAACUCUCAGUGUUGGUGAGUGUGUGCAUUGCCCAGCUGGCCACACUUUGAGAUCUUUGGAUUAUAUCAGUGCCACAUUCCAUAUUAUCUGAGGACACUUUUCACCAUAUCCUUAGCAAGAACUUAGCAAUGGUGGCAAGGAAAAACUUCUUUUCGGGAGGCAGAAACCUCGAGCAUUCAUGGUGGGCAGCUAUACGUAUAUGGAGUAGAGGAGCUUGGUGGCUCCCACUAGAGACCAUAGGAACCACAAAUAACCCAGCAUUCUGUGAGUGCAGCGUUCUAGUGGGGUAAUAGGGUAGUCUGGGCUCUUUAGGAUAUGAUGGUCCCUGACCAUGAAGAGCUUUGAGGGUGAGGAGAAGGAGUUUAAAUUCUAUUCUUGAUUUUACAGGGAGGCAGUGCAGAGAAGCUAACAUGGGAUCAAUGUGAGUCUUAAGUAAACUGUGUGGCGAGAGGACCAAAGUGUGAGCUUGUGCUUGAAAAACAUGGGAUCAAUAAAUGUGACAGUGUGUUGGACUCCACCAACCUCAUCACCCCAACCUUCCUCUGGGUCACUUGCCCUUCCUCAUGUGUCACCGGUCUGAUUGUCUUCCC